rnacentral:rRNA from 1 species
UACAGAGGGGCGAGCGUUGUUCGGAAUUACUGGGCGUAAAGGGCGCGUAGGCGGGCGAUCAAGUCAGGGGUGAAAUCUCCGGGCUCAACCCGGAAACUGCCAUUGAUACUAUUAGUCUUGAAUUUUGUUGAGGUAGGCGGAAUAAGUCAUGUAGCGGUGAAAUGCUUAGAUAUGACUUAGAACACCAAUUGCGAAGGCAGCUUGCUAAACAAAUAUUGACGCUGAGGCACGAAAGCGUGGGGAUCAAACAGG